rnacentral:rRNA from 1 species
CUCGAGGCCAGAUCUUUCCGGUUGAUCCCGCCGGACCUGACUGCUAUCGGAUUGAUACUAAGCCAUGCGAGUCUUUGUAGCAAUACAAGGCAGACGGCUCAGUAACACGUUGUCAAUCUACCCUAUGGACGGGGAUAACCUCGGGAAACUGAGAAUAAUACCCGAUAGAUCAUUAUGCCUGGAAUGGUUUAUGGUCGAAAUGAUUUAUCGCCGUAGGAUGGGACUGCGGUCUAUCAGCUUGUUGGUGAGGUAAUGGCCCACCAAGGCUAUAACAGAUACGGGCUCAGAGAGGAGAAGCCCGGAGAUGGGUACUGAGACACGGACCCAGGCCCUAUGGGGCGCAGCAGGCGAGAAAACUUUGCAAUGUGCGAAAGCACGACAAGGUUAAUCCGAGUGUUUUCUGCUAAAGAAAUCUUUUGUCAGUCCUAAAAACACUGAUGAAUAAGGGGUGGGCAAGUUCUGGUGUCAGCCGCCGCGGUAAAACCAGCACCUCAAGUGGUCAGGAGGAUUAUUGGGCCUAAAGCAUCCGUAGCCGGCCGUGUAAGUUUUCGGUUAAA